rnacentral:tRNA from 1 species
AGCCCCCUUGACUAAGGGACUCACUUCCUCCAAGGAGGUCGAGUAAAUAGCCUCCGAUAAAACCAUUGGUUCUAAUUCCAUUGGUGGCUC